CAGCAGCCGCGGGAAUACAGAGGGUGCGAGCGUUAAUCGGAUUUACUGGGCGUAAAGCGUGCGUAGGCGGCUUCUUAAGUCGGAUGUGAAAUCCCUGAGCUUAACUUAGGAAUUGCAUUCGAUACUGGGAAGCUAGAGUAUGGGAGAGGAUGGUAGAAUUCCAGGUGUAGCGGUGAAAUGCGUAGAGAUCUGGAGGAAUACCGAUGGCGAAGGCAGCCAUCUGGCCUAAUACUGACGCUGAGGUACAAAAGCAUGGGGAGCAAACAGGAUUAGAUACCCCAGUAGUCCCUGUCUCUUAUAA
rnacentral:rRNA from 1 species